GAUGAAGAACGUAGCGAAAUGCGAUAAGUAGUGUGAAUUGCAGAAUUCAGUGAAUCAUCGAAUCUUUGAACGCACAUUGCGCCUUCUAGUAUUCUGGGAGGCAUGCCUGUUUGAGCGUCAUUAAACCUCUCUCAAGUAUGAUUACUUGGAUGUGAAGGAAGAGUACCUUAAACUUAAGGAGUGUUCUCCUUUUAAAUUGAUUAGCAGAUGGUAAUGUUAUUAAAUCCCUGAUGUUGUAAGAAAUAACAGUGGUUUUGUAGACUAUUAUCUAGCUUUAAAUUAUAAUUUUUAUUAUGGUUGACCUCAAAUCAGGUAAGGAUACCCGCUGAACUUAAGCAUAUCAAUAAGCGGAGGA
rnacentral:misc_RNA from 1 species